UCUUGGUGGAGAUCCCUGUCUACCUGAGGUCUUCUAAGGGACUGGAGAAAAAAGUAUGAUUGGGCUGUGUGAACUGGGGAAUUGGUAGUGCAAGCACCAAGAAAUCUAGCUGAUUCUACUACUGCGGCACAGUUCUAAGAGACAAUUGGAAGAAGUGUUAACAAAACCAAGAUGGAUUGUAUUAAUCAGUGGCAAAGGAAGAGGAGGCAGUGAACAGCUGCGGUUCCUUGAAGAAGAAAUCUCAGCACCAAAGAGAUUGUACCUAAUACAUCUGUGGAAGUGACUGCACUUGUCUGAGGUUUACUCUGACAUAUAGAAAACGUCUAUGGUGGUGGAAAACUCCUUACUUCGUGGGUUGUUCUAUGAUGUUCUGCUGGAAAAAGUAGCUGAAGCAGGGAAGGGAGAGAACUGCUAUAAUACUGGAACAGAAUAAUUAGUCAUUUCUAAGUCUGGCACCUAAAGCAGUGAAGAAGGUUGUGUCUCCAUGUGAAAUGCAGCAGUCAGCAUUUCUUACACAGAUGAAAAAGGAAAGAUGUCAGGAAAUGAGGAUGUGCCAAACUCUGGAUCGUACACUCUGCACAUACACUAAGGGACACUUCAUGAUUUAUCAUUGACUACAGAAUAGCUUUUGAAUAGCCCUUUAUGUAUGUACAGAAGGUAUUCUGGUUUGUUUGUUUGUUUGUUUUGUGUAGGAGAGGAAGACACGAUGCUCAGAUGUUUUCUACUCUUAUGAUACAGAAAAGAAAGAAUGUGAAUAUUUUCUUUCAAAAUCCAAAUAGAGAUCCACAAAUGUCAGAAAUAUACUACAACAUGAUUUUGCAUUCUCAAUGUGUCUGUAUUUUGUUUUUAAAGAACAAAAAAAGUGUAUGUGUUUUAAGUAUAGUGACGGUGGAGGUAACUUCAUAUAUAUAUUUUCUGUUGCUUGUGAGAAUGAGAAGAUAUACACACACACAAUAGGGAUAGCAUUGAAUAAGAACUGAACAUGUCUUAAGGAACAGUAACAAAAAGAGAACAAUUUCUUUAACUUUAAAAUAGAAAUCAUUGGUAUGUUGCUUUCCUUAAAAAAGAAAACAAACAAAAAGCCAGUGAAUUGUUAAUUGCCUCAGGCAUAUAUAAGCACCCAGUCUGACAAAGACCUGUGUCUAAUUUUAUGCAUGAGAAUAGCCCAGUUGAUGUCUUUGGAGCUAAAAGUGUAUCAAGCAGUGCCUGUGGAUAUAGUACUGAAAACACUGGACACCACAUUGUUUUAAGCAAAAAAUAACAUUUUUUUUAACCACUUGAAAAAUCAGCACUCGAUGUCUUGUAUUAUUUUACACAAGAGGAAUAUAUACAUUAGUAGAACAGCUCUAUCAAAAAAUUUAUUUACUACAAGCUUACAAUUGCAUCAAACAACAUUGUAUUAAAAAAUACCAAAUCAGUAAAUAUUAGUUGUUGGUGUUGAUCUAAUAUGUUAAAACAUAACCAUUUAAGUGUUAGGUUUUAUAAAUCAUUGUUUUCUAGACAAUUCCGUAUAUGGAAGUUGAGAAUAAAUUUGCAGCUCUAUCUGUGCUUUUUCUCUGUUUAUGAGCUGAUGUC
rnacentral:lncRNA from 1 species